GGGGCUGAGCGGUGCUAUACUGCAGUCGAGCGGACGGAUGGGAGCUUGCUCCCUGAAGUCAGCGGCGGACGGGUGAGUAACACGUGGGCAACCUGCCUGUAAGACUGGGAUAACUCCGGGAAACCGGGGGUAAUACCGGAUAACUCUUUUCCUCACAUGAGGAAAAGCUGAAAGAUGGUUUCGGCUAUCACUUACAGAUGGGCCCGCGGCGCAUUAGCUAGUUGGUGAGGUAACGGCUCACCAAGGCCACGAUGCGUAGCCGACCUGAGAGGGUGAUCGGCCACACUGGGACUGAGACACGGCCCAGACUCCUACGGGAGGCAGCAGUAGGGAAUCUUCCGCAAUGGACGAAAGUCUGACGGAGCAACGCCGCGUGAGUGAUGAAGGUUUUCGGAUCGUAAAACUCUGUUGUCAGGGAAGAACAAGUACCGGAGUAACUGCCGGUACCUUGACGGUACCUGACCAGAAAGCCACGGCUAACUACGUGCCAGCAGCCGCGGUAAUACGUAAGUGUCAAGCGUUGUCCGGAAUUAUUGGGCGUAAAGCGCGCGCAGGCGGAUCCUUAAGUCUGAUGUGAAAGCCCCCGGCUCAACCGGGGAGGGUCAUUGGAAACUGGGGAACUUGAGUGCACAGGAGAAGAGUGGAAUUCCACGUGUAGCGGGGAAAUGCGUAGAGAUGUGGAGGAACACCAGUGGCGAAGGCGACUCUUUGGACUGUAACUGACGCUGAGGCACCAAAGCGUGGGGACCAACAGGAUUAAAUACCCUGGUAGGCCACCCCGAAACGAUAAUUGCUAAGUGUUAAAGGCUUCCGCCCUUUAUUGCUGCCCCAACCGAUUAAGCCCUCCGCCUGGGGAAAACCGCCCCAAGGUUAAACCUCAAGGAAUUU
rnacentral:rRNA from 1 species